AAUGUUUGACGCCAUUGACUUUUUUAAAUAUGUUUGACCGUUCGUCUUAUUCAAAAAAUUUAAGUAAUUAUUAAUUAUUUUCCUAUCAUUUGAUUUAUUGUUAAAUAUACUUUUAUGUAUAUAUAUAGUUUUACACAUUCCACAAAAGUUUUUGGAUAAGACGAACGGUCAAACAUAUUUAAAAAAAUCAACGGCGUCAAAUAUU
rnacentral:pre_miRNA from 1 species